CACAUUCUUGUCCUCUGAUCCCAUUUAGGGGUCGAUUGUUAGGGUUUCGCUCCCUCUCAUCGGAUGUCUCCUUCGAUCCGUUCUUUUGUUCAGCAUGUCCGAUCGAUUGAGCCGUGGAUCCUCGUAGAUCCGUCCGCGAUCUGUCGAUCGAGUAUAGAUUCGAUCGGUCAAGCAUCGGGGUUUUGUGAUUCGGGCGUAUUUCGAGAUAUCUGCCUCUGGUGUUCUUCUGCCGCAGAUUCAUCACCGCGCAUGAAGCCGAGAGCUCACGGCUGCAAGGGUAUAUAUAGCGAAGAAGCUGUUAGUUUUCCUGAUUGUUCAUGUUGAUUUUGCUUGGUUCUAAGCUUAUGUAAGGACUUUUGGUGCAAUCAUACUGUUCAGAUGCGGCGGAUCGCGUGUUCCUCGCUGAGAUCGUGUUGUAGCGGACUAUCAGUUCGAUCUUAGCGGGUGGUUUCGCUAGACGGAUCGAGGCGGUCUUUUGAUAUUUCCUGUGCGGAUGGCGUUCGUUAGAGGCGAGGGUGUUUGUAUUCCCAUACAGAGGGGACUCGCGAGAUGAUGGGAAGAUGGCCUUGACCGUUUGAUAGAUGAUUCUCUGCUGGUCAGGUUUUGGUUUUCACUAAUUUUUUUUUUGUCUGAUUGGAAGAGGUAUUGUUGGUUGUGUGUUUGGGGGAUACGAGUGGUGAGAUUUCGAAAAAGGUCAUUGAGAGAAAAAAGAUGAUGAGAUGUUGGAAUAAGAAUGUGCGACUGUCGUCGACCUUUGCCAUGACAGGUGCGCUUGCAUGGCGGGUCAAAAACCCCAAUAAAAUUUGCUUUUUUUGUGUGUUGGGGGGAGAUGGUACGGGGUUUUCUUUUGCCCGGCUCUCCCCCCUUGGCGUGGUGUCGUCUCUCUCCCUCUCUCCUUGUUCUCUCUCUCUCUCAGAGCAGCUGCACGUGGCUUGUCGCUGAUGUCUCGCAAGAAACCAAUUGUUUCAUUAAUCGGAACGCCAAACAGGUUCCGACAGGAUGACCUCGAAAUAUCACACACGGCUUAUACUGGAGGAAGUCCUCGAUGAUAUUCAAGUCAAAGGUACAACUACACUGCUUUAGCCAUUCUACCAUAACUUCGCCUUGUGAGCUUAUAUAAUUUUUCCUUUCAAUUCAUCGGUGUCGAGUGGUGUCGAGUGCCGCCAGUCAAUUUCAUUGGACCAAACUGUUACUAUCCGUAUAUAUUUUAGUUCAUCAACAUGAAUAACAGCAGCAGGUCUCACGCUAUUGAUAGAUGUGGUCAAUUCCGGCCAUUCAAUUUCAGUGGAUUGCUUGCAAACUGGUACUCUUAUCAGUAUAUUCGUUAAUUCAUCAACGUGGAUAACAGUGGAAGGUUUGACGCCAUUCACUGAUAUUUGCAAUUGCGAGUCUUGGAAUUCACCUGUUCAUUAUUGUUUUCAAGCAAUUUCAUCGUAAUUAAUGGCUAAUGCUUCCCACAGCCAAUGAUCGCUGUCCGCCAUCAUACUUAGAUCUAUCACGCAAUAUUUUUGUAUCCUAGUCCCGAGGGUUGCAUAAAUGGGCAUGCUCUCAAGGGACUAUGAUGAUGGGAUCCUUCAUAUAAUACCAGUAAAGUUGGACCGUGUAGAUAGCACUUCGCUUUCAUUUUCUUCAUCAGACUUGCGAGAGUAAUCUGGAACGUCUUUGAGAGAUCUACUUGACCUUCUGUUGCGGCCAAGUUUGUGUUCGUACGGGACCUGCAAGAAGAGAACUUGGAAUAACAGUUGAGUGCUGGUCCCUUGAAGGACCUUGCCUCAUUAGAAUUCUGGUUUGUCAGCAGGGUCCCCUUUGUUCAGUUUGGAUUGAAGAAACGUGGAUGGUUGUUGCUUAAGUGUGUCUCUUCAGAGGGAAAAGGAACAUGUAGAUGCAGCUGUACAGGUUCUUCUAAAAUUUAAUCAGUAGCUGGGGGUAUGCUGGGUAGUUUCACAUAUUCUGCAUUAUCUGUAAAAGAGGUAAGCAAGGUAAGCAUGUGGGAGAAGAAAUUUGUAUGGCUGUCAAAGAAGGAUGUGAGAGGAAGUAAUCGUGGGAUGUCCCAAAAAAAAGUCACUGUUGACGACCUUUGCCAUGACAGGUGCGCUUGCAUGGCAGGUCAAAGAACCCUAAUAAGAUGUUCUCUUUUGUUGUUUUGGGGGGAGAUCGCACGGGCUUUAUUUUUUGGCUCGGCUCUCCCUCCUCUCUCUCUCUUUCUCUCUCCCUCCCUCCCUCCCUCCCUUCCUCUCUAAGAGAGGUUUGACAUGGCUGGUUUCUGUCAACGAACAUAUGCAUGGCAAAUCACCAAAAAAGAAGAAAGUAAUCCUCUUAUGCCGUGGAAACAGUGCUAUAAUACAUUUUGGAGGUACUCAAUGACAUUGUAGGUAUCUAUCGCUGCCAAUUUUGAAUUCUGUGGAUUUACCGAAUCAAUCAUCAGCAUGCCAUAGCUGCAUUUGAUAUCAUCACAAGAUUUACGUUUCCCUUUGCAACUUUUUAUUACUCAUGGCGAACGACUAAUUUAUGUUUAAAAAUGGGCACAUGGAAAGGAAUCAUUGCCAAGAUUAACAUGCUACAUACUAAUGGAUUUGGUAUUGUGAGUUAGAGAAGUUUCCUAUCCUUUUUAUCUCUGUGGAGAGAAUAAUGUUAAUUCAUAUUUCAUGAACCGAACUCGUGCAAUUUUUUUAGAAUACAUUUAUUCAAUGGCUGUUAAUUAAUAUUUUCCAAGUGACGUUAGUAAUGCAAGUAAAAUUGGCCAGAUAAACACUCGUGUAAAUAUGGGGUUGGUAAGUUUAUUUUCUAGGGCAUUCAAUUGCAAGAUUCUUAUUGUGAAGCUGAGGGAUUGUUAGAAUUCUGAAGUUGAACCAAUGCAUGAGAACUUUGUUAGAAAUCUGUGAGGGAAAUGAUCCAUGAUACAUGAAAACUUUCUCUGUUUUGCUCCUUUUCAUUUUGCUGUAUUCAUAAAAUAUAUGAAGCAAUGGCAAUGAAAAUUCUGGCAAGAUAGUUGACUGAAGUAAGAUGUGCAUCUACUUGUUUUUGCUAUGUAUAUAGUAGUCAAAUUACAUGUAGCCCAAAGUUGAUGUGCUUUUGGAGCAGUUAGAAUGUGCGGGUGUUCUACUGGUGUAAUGACCAUUCCUUGUACUCUAUGUACUAAGUGUGGCGUGUGUCAAGUCUGUUCUCAAAUAGAAAUGGAGCUACCACACUGGAGUCAUCGACCUUGUGAGAAGAUCUGAUCAUCCUUUUUUGCAUGCAGCAUCUGGAUGGAGGAUCACUUCUCUCUUGAAGUUGUUAGCCGUAUGAUUGUGAUUCCAUGGCAAGCCUGUACUGUCUAGGUGUUUGAAAUGAAGUCCUAAGAGUCAGACUGCACCUUAUUUAGGACUCAAAAGACUCAUGCAGCGUCUGGAUGGAGGAGCACUUCUCUCUUCAAGUUGUUACAGCCAUAUGAUACCAAAUUUACGAGACCAUGGCAAGCCUGAACUGUGAAGCCUUUUGAAAUGAACUACUAAGAGUCAGACUGGACCGGAUUUAGGAUUUCAAAAGAUUCAGCUAGCGAAUGGCCUGGGCUUGUCCUUCCAACGGGUAGCAGCACCAGGUUUAGAUGAAGAUAGCAACUCAGUAUAUCAAUGUGGUCUUCUCACCCGACUUCUGUGCUUCUUCGGUUGAACCCAAUGUAUGUGUUGCUCAUGGAUGAAUGGAUUCUAGAAGAGCCCAAGCAGCUUUGUGGAAGCUUGUGCCAACGUGAAUUAAGAAUCAAUUGGUAAUUUGGUCUGGCAUGUCGGUUUUCUUUCUGUUGGUUUCCCUUCUUGUGCUUUUAGUAACGAGUCACUCGGGUGGAAAAUCAGUCUUCAGUUGCAUCCAGUGCUUUCAAGUUCAACAUGACUGUUAAAUGUUUUGAGUGGUAUGUGAACCUCGUUCAUCCUGGGUUUUUCUGAUUCAUAUGGUUCAUUUAAUUGAAUGUCCACAAAUAGCUGGGAUCCUAUCUUUUGAUUGAUUGAUUGUGUAAUAAAUUUGUGUGACAAGGUAGAGAGCCAACUAAGCUUGGUCUGUUAAGUGUUUUGAGUGGUAUAUAACCUUGUUCAGCCUAGGUGUUUCUGGUUCAUAUGGUUCAUUUAAUCAAAUGUUCACAAAUAGCUGGUAUCCUAUAUUUUGAUUGAUUGUGUCUAAUAAAGUUGUGUGACUAGGUAGAGAGCCAACUAAGCUUGGCGCCAAUGCAAGUGUUGUCUUGUGUAGCUGUGGAUCCCUGCUGCUGGUUUGUCUUAAUUUACUCCAAGACCUCGUUUGGCUUUUAUUGGGGAACUCCCAAUGGAAUCUACCAAUAUCAAAGACAAGUCAAAUUUACACAUUCCGACUCAUUGGGAGAAAACAGAUGAAUGAGUUCUGUUCCUAUCCAUAAACAGAUGGAAGUACUUGCUUUUAAAUGCAGAUGGUGAGUUUUUCAUGGAACUGAGUUGCUGUACCUACCUUCAUCAUCGUCGAAUUCUUGGUAAGGCAUAUAUGCUGUUUAAGGAUUUAGAGCACGGCACUAGUUAGCUGAAA